AAAUCACCUGACAUGACGGAACCUAGGCCUCAAUCUUUACAGCUGCCCCUUGGCCACACAGAGAACAGCACACGCAGGACAGGGACCAGGCCUAGAGCAGACUCAUCACAGCUCUCGCUGCCCAGCCCACCAUGUCCUUUCUCCCAGCUGCCAUUGUCUUGUUUGUGGGACUCGUCGUAGGUAUUGGACUUGUAGCUGCGGCAAAUGGUUCAAGGAUGAGAAUGGCUGCAAGGAGGAACCGCGCGGGAUCUUUUGACUUCGCUUUUGAAGCUGGGGGAAAUGAACAGGCCCUCUCUCCAAGCAUCUGCCCAAGGAAUGCUGUCCAGAGGAGGAACAGAUGACCACUGCACAUGAACAAAAGCACAUUUCCCUCCUUCCUUACAAGCUGCCGUAUUCAUGUCUUCCCACAGCAAUUGCUAGAAAUCUGCCACUGACUCGCAACUUCCCUUUUAACAGAUUUGGAUUACCUUGAGCAAUAAAUGCUUUGCAAGGUUUAAUAAAUGGGCAUG